GUUCCCAGCUCCCUUCUUGAUGAAUACUAUUCAUUUUGGCAUGCAAGCCAUUUUAUCCAAGGCCAUCGUGUGAUUCUGGUCUCAAAAGUUGCAACCUAGUGUAAAAAUGUCAUGGAGGGAUUACUUUCUCAAAGUUGUACCAAUGGCUAUUGGAACAGCGCUGGAUAUAAACCUGAGUAAUGUCUCCCUUGUUUUCAUCUCUGUCACAUUUGCCACUAUGUGUAAAUCCGCCUCUCCAAUAUUUCUCCUUCUGUUUGCUUUUGCAUUCAAGUGAGUCUCUAUUUGUAUGACCUCCGUAAAUGAUAUGAUUGUUCCAUUUGCAGUCUGUUUAUGAAAAUCCUGCCAUGCAAAAGUUUCCUGUAUUUAAUUUCAUUACCAUUCAAAAAAAGGAGUUUCCUGUAUGUCUUAAAACCUUUAGGUAGUUGGAGGCAUUGAGACAACAGACUAAAGUAAUUUUUACUGUUUCUUGUUUAAUCUUUUU